ACGGACGGACAGUCCGAGGUGGUUAACAAGGUCAUUGCCAUGUAUUUGCGUUGUGUGACAGGUGAUCGGCCUCGCGCUUGGGUGGACUGGCUUUCUUGGGCGGAGUACUGCUACAACACCUCUUAUCACUCCGCCCUGCGCGCUACGCCAUUUGAGGUGGUCUAUGGGCGACCACCCCCACCUAUCCUUCCGGUGGAUCCGGAGACAGCUCGGACGGAGGUUGCAGGUGAACUCAUCCGCACUCGUGACGAGAUGCUUGCUGAGGUUCGUCAGCGUCUCCUUCAGGCCCAGCAGUUGGCCAAGCACUACUACGACGAUCAUCAUCGCGAGGCGGAGUUCGCGGUGGGUGAUUGGGUGUGGCUGCGUCUUCUCCACCGCUCUACGCAGUCACUCGACCCGCGAGCAAGGCGCAAGCUC
rnacentral:rRNA from 1 species